rnacentral:rRNA from 1 species
CUUUACUAUAGCCUGGAAUUGGGUUCGGGCCUUUCUUGCGCAGCCUAGGUGGGAGGCUAUGAAGAUUUCCUUCCGGGGAAGUUGGAGCCAUCAGUGAGAGACCACUCUGGAGAGGCUAGAAUCCUAAUGGUGAUCCUUGAAUCAGGACGCUUGACAGUUUCAGGUGGGCAGUUUUUCUGGGGCGGAAGCCUCAUAAAGGGUAACUGAGGCGCGCAAAGGUCCCCUCAGUCUGGACGGAAAUCAGACAACGAGUGUAAAGGCAAAAGGGGGCUUGACUGCAAGACCUACAAGUCGAGCAGGAGCGAAAGCUGGCCUUAGUGAUCCGACGGUACCGUGUGGAAGGGCCGUCGCUCAACGAAUAAAAGUUA